rnacentral:rRNA from 1 species
GAUGAACGCUGGCGGCGUGCUUAACACAUGCAAGUCGAACGGAGAGGCCCAAGCUUGCUUGGGUACUCGAGUGGCGAACGGGUGAGUAACACGUGGGUGAUCUGCCCUGCACUUCGGGAUAAGCCUGGGAAACUGGGUCUAAUACCGGAUAGGACCACAUUUUGGAUGGUGUGGUGGAAAGUUUUUCGGUGUGGGAUGAGCUCGCGGCCUAUCAGCUUGUUGGUGGGGUAAUGGCCUACCAAGGCGUCGACGGGUAGCCGGCCUGAGAGGGUGUACGGCCACAUUGGGACUGAGAUACGGCCCAGACUCCUACGGGAGGCAGCAGUGGGGAAUAUUGCACAAUGGGCGCAAGCCUGAUGCAGCGACGCCGCGUGGGGGAUGACGGCCUUCGGGUUGUAAACUCCUUUCGCUAGGGACGAAGCGUUAUGUGACGGUACCUGGAGAAGAAGCACCGGCUAACUACGUG